rnacentral:rRNA from 1 species
CGGGUCCUUCGGGAUGCCGGCGAGUGGCGAACGGGUGAGUAAUGCAUCGGAACGUACCCAGUCGUGGGGGAUAACUACUCGAAAGAGUGGCUAAUACCGCAUACGACCUGAGGGUGAAAGCGGGGGACCGCAAGGCCUCGCGCGAUUGGAGCGGCCGAUGUCGGAUUAGCUAGUUGGUGGGGUAAAGGCUUACCAAGGCGACGAUCCGUAGCUGGUCUGAGAGGACGACCAGCCACACUGGGACUGAGACACGGCCCAGACCCCUACGGGAGGCAGCAGUGGGGAAUUUUGGACAAUGGGCGCAAGCCUGAUCCGGCCAUGCCGCGUGCGGGAAGAAGGCCUUCGGGUUGUAAACCGCUUUUGUCAGGGAAGAAAAGCUCUGGGCUAAUACCUCGGGGUGAUGACGGUACCUGAAGAAUAAGCACCGGCUAACUACGUGCCAGCAGCCGCGGUAAUACGUAGGGUGCGAGCGUUAAUCGGAAUUACUGGGCGUAAAGCGUGCGCAGGCGGUUGUGCAAGACAGAUGUGAAAUCCCAGGGCUUAACCUGGGAACUGCAUUUGUGACUGCACGGCUAGAGUGUGGCAGAGGGGGAUGGAAUUCCGCGUGUAGCAGUGAAAUGCGUAGAUAUGCGGAGGAACACCGAUGGCGAGGCAAUCCCCUGGGCCUGCACUGACGCUCAUGCACGAAAGCGUGGGGAGCAAACAGGAUUAGAUACCCUGGUAGUCCACGCCCUAAACGAUGUCAACUGGAUGUUGGGGAUUCAUUUCCUCAGUACGAAGCUAACGCGUGAAGUUGACG